UCUGAGAGUUUGAUCCUGGCUCAGGACGAACGUUGGCGGCGUGUCUAAGGCAUGCAAGUCGAGCGGAUAUCAUUUUUUAGCAAUAUUAGAUGAUGUUAGCGGCAAACGGGUGCGUAACACAUUGGUAAUCUACCCCCCAGUCGGGCACAACUCGCCGAAAGGCGAGCUAAUUCCACGAUGGGCAUGCGGGGACAUAUGUCAUUCGCAUGUAAAGCGCAAAACGCGCUGGGGGAGGAGCCUAUGGCCCAUCAGCUUGUUGGCGGGGUAAAAGCCCACCAAGGCUACGACGGGUAGGGGGUGUGAGAGCAUGACCCCCCUCACUGGGACUGAGACACUGCCCAGACACCUACGGGUGGCUGCAGUUAAGAAUAUUCCUCAAUGGCCGAAAGGCUGAAGGAGCGACGCCGCGUGCAGGAUGAAGGGCUUUGGCUCGUAAACUGCUUUUAUUUGGGAAGAAUUCUGACGGUACCAAAUGAAUAAGAGGUUGCUAACUCUGUGCCAGCAGCAGCGGUAAUACAGAGACCUCAAACGUUGUCCGGAUUUAUUGGGCGUAAAGGGUCCGCAGGUGGCCAUGCACGUCGAGGGUUAAAUGUUAGGGCUCAACUCUAACACCGCUCUCGAUACGGCGUGGCUAGAGGCUGGGAGAGGCAUACGGAAUUGCCGGUGUAGUAGUAAUAUGCGUUAAUAUCGGCAAGAACACCAAAAGCGAAGGCAGUAUGCUGGAACAGUUCUGACACUCAGGGACGAAAGCGUGGGGAGCGAAAGGGAUUAGAUACCCCUGUAGUCCACGCCCUAAACGAUGGAUGCUAGAUGCUGGGAGUAUCGACCCUCCCGGUGUCGUCUAAAAUAGCUAACGCAUUAAGCAUCCCGCCUGGGGAGUACGGCCGCAAGGCUAAAACUCAAAGGAAUAGACGGGGACCCGCACAAGCGGAGGAGCAUGUGGUUUAAUUCGACGAUAAGCGAAGAACCUUACCUGGGCUCGAAAUGUAGCUGCAAGCCGAUGGAAACAUUGGCCGCCUUCGAGGGUGCUAUAUAGGUGCUGCAUGGUUGCCGUCAGCUCGUGUCGUGAGAUGUACCGUUAAGUCGGAUAACGAGCGCAACCCCUGUCCCAUGUUGAAUUUUCAUGGGAGACCGCCUCGGAUAACGGGGAGGAAGGUGGGGACGACGUCAAAUCAGCAUGGCUCUUACGUCCAGGGCUACACACGUGCUACAAUGGUAGGGAACAAUGGGCUGCCAAACCGCAAGGUGGAGCUAAUCCCAACAAAACCUACCUCAGUUCGGAUUGGGGGCUGCAAUUCGCCCCCAUGAAGUUGGAUUCGCUAGUAACGGCCGAUCAGCAAUGCGGCCGUGAAUACGUUCUCGGGUCUUGUACUCACCGCCCGUCACGUCAAGAGAGUUGGUAAUGCCCGAAGGCCCUGAUGAGGGGACGAAGGCAGGAUCAGCGAUAGGGACGAAGUCGUAACAAGGCAUCCGUAGCGGAAGCUGUGGAUGGAUCACCUCCUUU
rnacentral:rRNA from 1 species